GUCAGUUAAACACUCUCAUGACUGUGCCUGUUUCCUGGGUCUCAUGUUAAAUGACAGCAUUUCGAAGUCCCCCCAUUCGUGUCAGUAGCAGAGUCACCUCUUCUCUUCUCAGAGUCACCAGGGAUUUGCUGUAACAGAAGAGCUUACCUGGCUGCUGUCCUCCGUUUGGGUUCCAUCCAGUGCUAGCCUAUUAAUUAUUAGUAUUUCACACCAAAUUUUACCACAACCUUGCCUUUCUCUGUAUUCAAUCACAUUUUUAUUUAGUCAACAUGUACUGAAUAUCUUCUUGUGCUAGGUGACAUGCUAGGCUUUGAGGACACAGAGAUUCACAUUCUUCAGGAAGGACAUUUAACAAAUAAGUGCAAUUUUUGAUUAGAAAAAUAUAAAUGCCCAGAUCUUUGAUAGAACAUCCAACAUGUAAAGUAUCUGUGUUCUGAAAACAAACACAAAUAAAUAAAAGAAAAUCCCCAACAACUCUGAUGAACUCCCAUUGAAUUUAGAAUAAGCCCAGACUCAGAACCAUGCAUGUAAGGCCCUACAAGAGCGGGCCCAGUCUUUCAGCUGACUUCAUCGCCCACUGCCUUUCUGUGCUAUGAUCCAGCCAUCUCAGCCUUCUUUCUCUUCCUUGAACAGGCCAAGGUCAUUCCCAGCUAAGUGUCUGCAGCUGAUGCUCCUCUUCUCAAUAGUCUUCUCCAUGGCUGGCUUCUCAGAGAGCAUCCCCGACACUCUCUUCCCAGUCACUCUGUGUGAUCAUUCGAAUUUCCAUUAUGUUAUAUAUUUGCCACCCAUGUGCCCCAAAAGAGGCUGUGCUAACAGCGAGCAGGGACCUUGCCAGUCAUGUUCAUUGCUAUCCCCAAAGCCCACACACUGUAAGCGGUCAAGAAAGGUUUAAUACAUGAAUGAAAGUAUAAAUGAGUGGCAGAAUAUAAAUGAUAGCAAGAACGACUGUGGGCCUGUCAAUGGAUCAGGACACUCAAUGAUGCAAAUCUCCAAGGUAUGCUAAGACAUCUUAGAUUUUCAUUUAUUCUUUCUCCCCCUUCAUAAGUUUUACCAGACGGUAAAAAGGACACAUGGAAAGAUCUUUAGUCCAAUCCAGAAGGGUCUCAUGGACAUGGUGGCACUAAAAGCUGGGGAGACCUGGAGUUGGUCAUCAUUUUGAAAGACAGUGUUUUUUAUAAUAGAAGGAAAGUGCUUGUCUGCUAAGUAAAUCUCCCCAAAAGGGAAGGUAAAUUGGGAAGGCCCCCAUUCUGGCCUUUUCUAAGUGGUCAGAGAUGACAGCAUCCGCCCUCUUGUCUGGUCAAGUGAAACUCAGUCUGAGGACUAACCGCAAAUAGCAGAACAGACUCCCAAUCGGCUGCUUCUCUUGUCAGUGUAGCAAUAGCCUUGGCAACUUUCUUUUUAUCUCAGCACUCUAAAGCUAUUUAUACACUGGCAUAGGAAAACAUAUUAUUUGCAGAAAUGCCUCCGGAUCCUAUGUCAUUUAUACAGGGACAGAAGAUGUUUUCAAAGGACCAUAUUUCUGUAGUAUUUUUUGCGACAAAGACUGUACAGCAAUGAUCUGCCAGGUUGUGUGGGUGUAAAAACAGCCUCCAUUAACUAAUCUUCAGUUCUACUUUGGCUGUUUAAAUAUCCAAGUUUUUCAGUCUGUCCAUAUUUAGAUUUUGGAAUUUAGUCAUGAUUAAUUUGCGGGCUUGAAGUAUAGGAUACAGCACCUAGGGGUUCCUUUCUCAAUCCUCUCCUCCUCUCUCUUGGGUUUUAUUGGAAUUGUGCCAGUAUAAGUGCACUUUGGAAAUCUUACUUUAGCUAAGCUGAAAAUGUGGCAAUUAUAGGCAUAAUGCAAAGUCUCUUCUAGGAGCAGAUGCCAAGACAGGAUUAGAUGUGCAUGAAAUUUAUCAAGGAAAAUGCCAAUGAGGGGGAAAAGGGAGGGAGCUGAAAGAGGUGAGGGGAACCGGGAAGGAUGAGAGCGAAGUGAUGCUGGAUAGACAGUCUCAGAUUGCCCCACAAUUUUAAGCAUAAUUCAGCGUUUGUGAAAAGUCUUUGAGCCAAAGUCGCCCAUCCGAGGAAUCCCCAUCUUGCAGGAACAGGCUUGCACAAGCAACCCUGUCACAUUGCCUCAUUCUCCAGGAACAGCCCACAGGGAGUGGGGACUCACGCACAUGCUGCGGGGAUCCCCAUCUGUCACCGUCCUCCUGCAGCAGGGGACCUGAGCGGUGCAUUUUCAUGACCGCCGCAGCUCCCGCCUAGUUUGCUUAAAGAGAGUAAAAGGCAGUAGCUUUUACAUUAUUUUCCUUGUAGCUCUGGGGUCCUAAGAGUUCCUUGGUAGCCUAGCGGUGAAGGAUUCAGUGUUAUCACUGCUCUGCCUCUGGUUCAGUCCCUGGCCUGGGAACUUCCACAUGCCUCAGGCAUGGCCAAAAAAAAAAGUCUCUGGGGUCCUAACGUGGGCCCUCAGUCCCUGUUGGGGGGACUAAGACAUCAGGAACCACUGCAGAGCCACUUAGGCCUUCUUCACCCAGAGAAGCCUUUUACUAUUGUAUAUAUUGGGGAUUCUACAUAAGACUUCCUUAGGAGGCAAAUGAUUCCACUGCUUUCUAAAUAUUUUCAAAACAAUUAAAGGAAUACUGGAGUUCCCUGGUGGCUCAGCAGGUUAAAGAUCCAGCAUUGUUGCUGCUUUGGCUCAGGUUGCUGCCAUGGCAAGGGUUUGAUCCCUGGCCUGGAAACUUCCUCAUGCCAAGGUCAUGGCCAAAAGAAAAAGGAAAACCAUUGGUAGGGAGGCUCCCCUUGAACCCAAACCCUUGGUUUUUGGAUCAUUGGAGGGAAAAAAGAUAUUUUCUACAUAGUGCUUACUUCCCCAGACCAUGGUUUUCUACAUACUGGGCUUUCUGAAGUUUUCCCCCACUUCCUCAAGCACAGAAAGAAGUUCCUACCACUGUGUUCCCAUGGUGCUUUGUACCUUGAUUAUGCCAUUUGUUACAUUUCAUAAUAAUUUGUUUAUAUAUCUGAGUCCUCCAGAUUGCAAAGUUUUUAUAUUUUAUUCUUUCCUUCUUUCUCUAAAGAGGGAAACAUUGGCAUUGUUCCAUAAUUAUACUGGUAAAUUCCCUUAUUUUACAACCAUGACUAAUGCCUCUAGCCGGUUAAGAGAAAACCAUCUACUUUUUAAGUAAUUUUGAAUUUCUACUGCAUAUUUUUAGAGAUAAUAAAACCCUGACCAAAACAAAAACAGAAAAUCUUGGUAUUCAAAAGGUGGCUCUAAGCUGAUCAUCAAUAUUAGAUCUUGUAUAUGACAACUUUGUGAGAACUGUGAAAGGCAAACACCGAAAGAAAAACCUACCUGUAAUUAUUUCUUCCAUUUAGACCACAAAUACUUAUUGAGAACCUCCUAUGGGCCAGGCCGUGUUGCAGGUGCUACCAUAGCUGAAGACAAUGAUGCAACUAAAACGGAGCGAUGUGAUGGGGUGAUAGGCCACUCUAGGUGGGUGAUCAGGAAAAGGGCUUCCUAUCAUGUGAAGCUUCAGAGGGAUAGCAUCGCUUGUAGAGGUAACAGCUAGGGCAAAGGGCCAAGAUGAAAACACACCAAAUCCAGGUUGGUGAGACUUUGGCGAGCCAGGCAAUUUGUCAUGGGGAGAAGUGAUCAGAUAGGCAGGCAGGAGUCAGGUAGGUAGGGCUUUAAGGAACAAUGUGGGUAUUUCAAAUUUUUUUCUUUCUUUCUUUCUUUUCUUUUUUUUUUUAAGGGCCACAGGUGCAGCAUAUGGAAGUUUCCAGACUCGGGCUGCAGCUGGGAUUGGACCCCUAGCCUGGGAACUUCCACAUGCCGUAGGUGUGGUCCUAAAAAGCAAAAAAAAAAAAAAAAUCAAAAGAUCACCAUGAAUGCUGUGUAUAAAAUGGAUUAUAGUGGAUUAAGACUAGAAAUAAGACUAGCAAGGGGUCAUUGGCAAAGUUGAGAAGAGCUAAUAGAAAUCUGGAUGAAGGGGCAGCAGAGGAGUGCAGUGCGCAAAUAUGCAAAUACUCUACGGGGACAUGCGUGUGCAAGCAUAUACACACACAAACAUACACAUCAUAACGAAAGCAAAAAAAUUAAUUCUGCAACCUCAGACCUCUAUAAUAUCAUUCCAAUUAUUCUUACAUGAGAAACAAUUAAGCAUAAGUUGUAAACCCACAUCUACUCCUGCUCUUUGCUCUCUGUUCUCUAGUUAUUAUAGCAAAUGAUUCAACUGAGCAGAGAGCAUGGGAAUUGCCA
rnacentral:lncRNA from 1 species